AUUGAACGCUGGCGGCAUGCUUUACACAUGCAAGUCGAACGGUAACAGGCCUUCGGGUGCUGACGAGUGGCGAACGGGUGAGUAAUGCAUCGGAACGUACCCAGAGGUGGGGGAUAACGCGGCGAAAGCUGUGCUAAUACCGCAUGUGAUCUGAGGAUGAAAGCGGGGGACCGAGCAGCAAUGUUUGGCCUCGCGCCUUUGGAGCGGCCGAUGUCGGAUUAGCUAGUUGGUGGGGUAAAGGCCUACCAAGGCGACGAUCCGUAGCUGGUCUGAGAGGACGACCAGCCGCGCUGGGACUGAGACACGGCCCAGACUCCUACGGGAGGCAGCAGUGGGGAAUUUUGGACAAUGGGCGCAAGCCUGAUCCAGCAAUGCCGCGUGCGGGAAGAAGGCCUUGGGGUUGUAAACCGCUUUUGGCAGGAACGAAACGGUGUCCGCUAAUACCGGGCGCUAAUGACGGUACCUGCAGAAUAAGCACCGGCUAACUACGUG
rnacentral:rRNA from 1 species